CCCUCUCCCUCUCUCUCAUUCCUAGUCUCCACCUAGGGUUCCAUACUUGGGGAAUCCAUCAUCGAAUCAGGCUUUCGUGUAUCUUUAUUUUCUCUUCUCUGAAUUGCUGAUUUAACACUCAGGUUCGUGCAAGAUAUUGAUCCACUGCUGGUAUCGAAGAGAUACUAGGUUCCUAACAAUUAGUAUCAGAAUACGGUUGAGCGUGGAGGAGGAAGAAGAGAAGAUCAAGGAAUUAUUUGUAAUAGAGAUC
rnacentral:lncRNA from 1 species